GACUGGAAGACAAAGGCUCCUAAGACAUGGACAAAAAUUGGCAAAAAUCUUCCCAAUGACUUGCUUGGACUGUUACGGAAUUUGCGCAAUGCACUGGGACAUCAGGAAAAAGAGUUCUAUGAAAAGAAGAUGAUUGAUGAGUUUCCAGAUUUCCUCAUCAGUUUACAUAGACUGGCUGUGGAAAUGGGCUGGGAAUAUUGAAGAUGCUGAGAAAUUGCAUGCAGACACCUGUACAUGGUCUUUCUUUUUGUUUUCAUAGUUUUGAUCAUGUACUUUUUUGGAGGCAAAUAUUUAACUUUUCAGUCUUUUGCUGCCUCAAUUGCUUUACACUUAAUGUUGAUUAUUGGUGUUUUAAUGGUCCCUAAACAUUUUUAAACUCCACAAUAUUGGUUUCAGCUCUAAACUACUGAAGGUGGUUUUUAAAGCCUGCAUAGUGUUGCAAUUUAUGUUUUUAACUAAAGUCAAUAUUGAUAUUUUCAACUUGUUUGCUUGUUGUAUAUUCAUUGACUCAGUGUUGUAAUGCUAAAUGAAUUGCAUUUGUAUAAUGUGAAAGGAUUUGUAAAAACAGUCAAAGAGUGUGUCUUCUGAA